AGUAGAUAGAUAGUGACAUGGCUCUGAUGGGGGUGUAGUCUGGUUGGGGACACCCAGGGAAGGUGUGGGAAGAACCAGUCAGGAGGACUGGAGGCCGGGAGGCCCACGUGGAUGAAGAGAAGAAAGAGGAAAGUGUCCGGUCAGGAAAGAGGUUAAAGAAGACCCGCAAGUAUGACAUCAUCACCACUCCAGCUGAGCGGGUAGAAAUGGCCCCUCUGAAUGAAGAGGACGAUGAGGACGAGGAUUCCACAGUAUUUGACAUCAAAUACAGGUAAAACCUGUUUCCCAGGGGGUUGGCAUACCGUGGAAAGUUGUUCAGCUGCAGCCUGGGCUGUGAAGGAUCUGGAGCAGUCUCUCGUCCACGGUGUUCAAACCAAAACAAACGACAUUCACGAAACUCUGGCUCCGUCAUGUGUGUCCAGCGUCCAUUCAGAGUGUCACCAUCAAGCUUGUUUCCAAAUCGCCACACGGGAGGAGUUGCCUCUGCUACUUUCUGGGUGCCCUUUUAAAAUGUCACCCCUUCUCCUGCCUCCCUUUGGGUUUUUUUUUUUUGCCUUGCUAAAGCAAAGGGUAGAAACAUGUUGAAAAAUAUUUUUAAAGCAACUGUUGACAAUAGUGGAACUAUAAUUAGGAGGAUCAAGAAUCUAAGAACAGCCUGAAGAAUCUUCAGCUGUAAACUUAGAAUUCCUGCCACUCUGCUCUCCAGAAUCUCUACGCUAGACAUCAGGCCCUUUCCGCAAUCUUUUUUGGCUUGGUGGGGGCUCAGGCCUUAUUUUGGUGAGGGCUAUAUGAAAUUUCAGGUGGGGAAUGCUUAGACUGGUUGGCCCCUACUGGAAGUGAACCAGUAUUGGCUCCUGUCCCCACCACCGCACACCUUUAUUAAAGGGGAUCAGCAGAAAUAGGCCUGGCUAGUUCACAAAGAAUUUUGAAUUCCAAUUAUCAGGGAAAACAAAGUAUGUGUGUUUGUGUAUGGACAUGUGUGUGAAUAUAUAUAAAAUAAUUUCUCCUCUCAAGGGAACGGAAAGCACUGGGCAGCUUUGGGUUGGUAACUGUUUUUUUUUUUUUUUUUUAAUGCUUUUGUGUGUGUGUUGUGUGUUUGUUACAAUUCUACAUUGUUUGUCUUAGAAAUAUAAUUAAAAAUCACUGUGGUAAUUUAAAUCAAUGGUGAUUUGGCUGGGUCAAGUGAAGGACAUGAUUAGGGACUCUACUGGCCCUGAAGUCGGUCUAGACUGGGAACCUCCUGGACCCAGGAGUUUACUCAUAAGGACCCCCUCCCUUAAGCGUGGGUAGGGUCUGAGGCAGGCCACUUCCCUGGGAGCCUGUGAGGUAACUUUAUUCAGAGAUACCCUGUGGAACAGGACCUCGGGAGACCUCUCAGAUUGACAGAGGCCUCCCAUUUUGCUCUCCUCCCAUAUUGGUGCAGCCAGUGCGUUUCUAUUUCGAGCCUACUAGCAGUGCCUUUGGGACCCUGGUGUUCCAUUCUGUCUCAAAAGGUGUUUUUAAUUUUUUACCCUUCUCUUCCUUUCUGGCACUGCCCCAGGGUUGGUUAGGUUUGCCUGUCUAUGGUCCUGUUCCGUUGGCCGGGAUGAAAACUCCCACCUUCCCCUCCUCACCCCCAUUUUAGGCUCUUCGGUUUCCUGAGAAGGGCUCUCUUGGUGGGAAGAGAUGGGCAGGGGCUCCCGUGGCCCUGAGGCCCACCUGGGUGUGGGUGCUGUGUGACCCUAGCUGUUAGCAGGCGUGCUGGUGGCACAAAGGGAGCCCUGGAAGCCCAGGCCAAGUAUAGCCCUGUGGCUGGUGCUGCUGGGCUGUCCGCUGCUGUGGCGCAGCCCACACGUGGUGCCUGCUGGGCCCGGCCCUGUCGUUUCACCUCCUUUGUUGACUCUUCUCCCCUCGGCUCUGUUUGUCAGAGGGGUGGGGCUGGAAGCAGAACAGCUGUGGCUGCGCUCUCCCCCACUCCAUGGUGGUGUGCUCACGACCAGAGCAGUGCCUCGCAGCUGUGCGCCUUCUCAGCCUUUGAACUGGAAAUGCCCAACUCUCAUCUGCAGAGUCUUAUGACUACAGCUCAAUCGUCCAGAAAAGCUGGAUUCUUCCGCCUUAUGUCUAAACCCCGCGCCCUUGUGCUCGCCACCGGUCCCGGCUGGAGGGGACACCAGCAAUGACUUUCUAAAUCCUUGGUGGAACUUCAAGCACUACAGGCGCUUAAAAUAAAGACCUUUUAGACAUGAA